rnacentral:misc_RNA from 1 species
GAACUGCGAAACGUAAUGUGACCUGCACUCUUCGUGAAUCAUCCAAUCUUUGAACGCACUUUGCACCUCGUGGCUUAUGUCACUUGGUAUACUUGUUUGAGUAUUCAAAACACCCUCAUUUCCCUUUCGGGGCGAAAAUGGACUUGAGAGUUCGACCAUCCUCUUCUGGUUGGUCGUCUCUUUAAAUGCAGGCCAACAAGGCAUGUCUUAGCUUGCAUUUCAUGCAAUGCUUUAGGGCAACUAUUGGGAUAACAUCCUAACGAUAGUGUCGCCUUAUGAGCAUGGCUUUGACAGCCUCGGUCAUCUUAUCUGCGUCUAAACCAUCAAUAACUUGAGGUGGAGACUAUGAUUACAGCAAUGUUAAAUGAAUCUCAAAUCAAGUAGGGAUACCCGCUGAACU